GGAGGGAUGCCGGAGCGGCCAAACGGCGCUGAUUCGAAAUCAGUUGGGGGCGUAGCCCCACGGGGGUUCGAAUCCCUCUCCCUCCGCCA
rnacentral:tRNA from 1 species